AGUGCAGGCAAGGCUAUGCAAGACAAACCAAGGCUAAGCCAUGCAAAGGCAGGUCCAGGCCAGGCCGGGCAAGGGACGGCAAGGCCAGACAAGGCAUGGCAAUGCACGGCAGGUCCAGGAAAGGUCAUGCAAGACAAAACUAGGCCAGGCCAGGCAAGGCAAUGCCAGUCAAGGCAAGGCUAUGCAUGCCAAAUCGAGGCAAGGCCAGGCAAUGCAAGUCAAGACCAGUCAAAGCCAGGCAAGGCAAGGCGACGCUAGCAAAGUUCAGGCAAGGCAAGGCAAGACAUAGCAAAACAGCGCCAGGCCAGGCAAGGCAACACUAGGCAAGGCCAUGCCAUGCAAAGGAAGGACAUGCAAGUUAAGGCCAGGCGAGGCGGUUCAAGGCCAGGUAAGACAAGGCUUGGCUUUGACUUUCAGCGCUUUGCCCUGCAUGGCCCGGACUUUCUUGGCCGUGCCUCGCCUUGGCUUGCCUAUGCCUUGUUUUGCUUGGACUUGCCUGGCGUGGUCCUGCCUUCCCUAGCUGUGACUGUGCUGGGCUAGCCUCGCCUUUCCUGGAUGUGCCUUGCGUUGGCUGCCGGGCCUGGACAUGCAUGGACUUUCCUUGCCUUGACUGGCCUUGCGUUGCCCUGCCGUGACUAGCCUGGAAAUGCCUUGCCUUGCUCUCCCUGGCCUUAGGUUGCAUGGCCUUGCCUGGCCUGGCUUUGAAUUGGCUUAUUUGCGUUUCCUUGGCUUGCCUGGUUUUGCCUGGCCUUGCCAAGCCGCGCUUUGCCCGGCCUGGCCUGGACUUGACUUGUCUGGCCUGGCUUUGCUUUGUCUUGGCUGGCCUUGCCUUGACUGGCCUUGCAUUGCCUUGCUUUGCCUUUUCCUGCAUGGCCUGGUCUUGCCUUGCGUUGCUUGGCCUUGCCUGGGCCUGUCUGGCCUGGCCUGGCCUGGCCUUGCAUUGCAUUUCUUUGCCUGAUCUUGCCCUGCCUGGCAUGGGCAUGCAUUGCCUUGCCUUGCCUUGCCUUGCCUUGCUUUGGUGUACUUCCACUGGCCUUAUUUGGCCUGGACUGGUUUUGACAAUUGUUGGUUUACCUGGCCUCUCUUGUCCUGGCCUGUUCUGGCGUUAUCUUUCGUGGUAUGUCUGGUCUUGCUUUACCUUUCCUUCUUGCCUUGCCUUGCCUAGUCUUGCCGUUGCGUGCCUGCCCUUUCCUGGCCUUGUGUUGCAUUGCCUUUCCUUCCCUGGCCUUGCCUUGCAUGAUCUGGACUUGACUGGACUUGAGUGGCCUUUCCAGGAUUGGCGUGGCCUUGCCUUAUGAGGGCCUGUAGUGUUUUGCCUUUUUUUGCAUUUCCCUGCCUGGCCUGGAAUUGCCUGGACUUGGCUUGAUUUGAGUGUCCUUGAUUUGUUUUGCGUUGUUUUUCCUGGCCUGGCCUGGACUUGCUAUGCCUGUCCGAUCCUUAUGUUGCAUUGUUAUGCCUUGCAUGACUUUGCGUUGACUUUCCUUGCUUUGUCUUGUUUUGCUUGGACUUGCCUUGCCUUGCCUUACCCUGCCUGGCCUGGACUCGCCUGGACUUGCCUUGUUUUGCCUUGCCUUGCCUGGCCUUGCCUUGCUUCAAUGUGACUGGUGUGGACAAGCCUGGCCUUUCCUGGACGGCCUAGCCCGGCAUUGCCUUGCCUGUCUGGCCUGGAG
ensembl:lncRNA